CUCUUCAACGAUCCCUUCCCCACACCUCAAACCCUCCAUCAUCAAUGGCUUCCUUCUCAAGAAACCUCUCCCCAUUUUCACUAUUCCUUCUAAUUCUCGCCAUUUCCACCCAAACCCAUCUCUCCUUUUCAUCAAUAGACAAACCCCUCAACCCAACAGACAUCCACGAACUUCUACUCCGUUACGGUUUUCCCGCUGGUCUCUUACCCAACAAUGUCAAGUCCUACACUCUCUCAGACGACGGCGCCUUCGAAAUCGAACUCGAAACCGAUUGCUAUGUGAUGCUCAGUGAGCUGGUUUACUACGAAAAGAAAAUCACGGGGAAAUUGAGCUAUGGGUCUGUGACCGAUGUUUCUGGGAUUCAAGUUAAGAAGCUGUUCUUGUGGGUCUCUGUUUCUGGGUUCAAGUCUAAUCAAGGAUCUGGAACCAUCGUGUUCUUUGUCGGACCCUUGUCUGAAACUUUUCCGGCAGAAAUGUUCCGGACGAUUCCUGGUUGUAGAAGGAAGGCUUGCCUAGGAGGAAGAACAGAAGCCAUAUGAGAUGGAAAUGAUAGCUUUCCAAGCAUGUUCAUCUUUGUUUCCACAAUGUUAACAAAAUGUUUCUUUCCAUAACAUUAUCCUUCUACUAUAUCAAAUUUCAUUAUCAAAUGAAAAUUUAUGUAUUGUCUACGGCUGCAUGGCCGUUAAAUGUCAAACCUCUUGCAUUGUAUCACUUUAUUGCCUUCUUUUAACGUUUUCAUGAUGUAUAGUUUCCUUUUUGUA